AGCAUGGUGUAGUGGCUUGAGCCCUGGACUAGGACUCUGGAGACCAGGGUUCAAAUCCCUGCUGAGCUG